rnacentral:rRNA from 1 species
GGAGUUAGCCGGUGCUUCUUCUGUGAGUGAUGUCCUUCCUGCCGGCUAUUAACCCGCAGGCCUUCUUCCUCACUGAAAGUGCUUUACAACCCGAAGGCCUUCUUCACACACGCGGCAUGGCUGGAUCAGGGUUGCCCCCCAUUGUCCAAUAUUCCCCACUGCUGCCUCCCGUAGGAGUCUGGGCCGUGUCUCAGUCCCAGUGUGGCUGAUCAUCCUCUCAGACCAGCUACGGAUCGUCGCCUUGGUGAGCCGUUACCUCACCAACCAGCUAAUCCGACAUAGGCUCAUCCGAUAGCGCGAGGCCCGAAGGUCCCCCGNUUUCCCCCGUAGGGCGUAUGCGGUAUUAGCCUGGGUUUCCCCAGGUUAUCCCCACUACCGGGCAGAUUCCUAUGCAUUACUCACCCGUCCGCCGCUCGCCACCAGGGAGCAAGCUCCCCGUGCUGCCGCUCGACUUGCAUGUGUUAGGCCUGCCGCCAGCGUUCAAUCUGACCAAGAUCAAAUUCUGA